rnacentral:rRNA from 1 species
UACGGAGGGUGCAAACGUUGCUCGGAAUCAUUGGGCGUAAAGCGCACGUAGGCGGCCUGUUAAGUCGGAUGUGAAAGCCCCGGGCUCAACCCGGGAAGUGCAUUCGAAACUGGCAGGCUUGAAUAUGGAAGAGGGUCGCGGAAUUCCCGGUGUAGAGGUGAAAUUCGUAGAUAUCGGGAGGAACACCAGUGGCGAAGGCGGCGACCUGGGCCCAAUAUUGACGCUGAGGUG